rnacentral:rRNA from 1 species
GACGAACGCUGGCGGCGUGCUUAACACAUGCAAGUCGAACGGAAGGGCCCUGCUUUUGUGGGGUGCUCGAGUGGCGAACGGGUGAGUAACACGUGAGUAACCUGCCCUUGACUUUGGGAUAACUUCAGGAAACUGGGGCUAAUACCGGAUAGGAGCUCCUGCUGCAUGGUGGGGGUUGGAAAGUUUCGGCGGUUGGGGAUGGACUCGCGGCUUAUCAGCUUGUUGGUGGGGUAGUGGCUUACCAAGGCUUUGACGGGUAGCCGGCCUGAGAGGGUGACCGGCCACAUUGGGACUGAGAUACGGCCCAGACUCCUACGGGAGGCAGCAGUGGGGAAUAUUGCACAAUGGGCGGAAGCCUGAUGCAGCAACGCCGCGUGCGGGAUGACGGCCUUCGGGUUGGAAACCGCUUUCGCCUGUGACGAAGCGUGAGUGACGGUAAUGGGUAAAGAAGCACCGGCUAACUACGUG